AAGACUGUGCUUCACAGGAUCAUUUCUGUAGGCAAGUUUUCACCACAAGUUUUUUCCGAAAGGAAAAGAUUUCCCACCCACGAUGAUGAGAAGGAGUGUCUAGCCUGGAGCGUGAAACUUGGUGGAGAUCUGGUUCGUUUGUAUGAACGGACCGCUCUACUGCUGAAGAUCGGCUCUCUUGCAAUGGCUUGGACGCAUUCUGAGUGGU
rfam:Culex pipiens quinquefasciatus supercont3.337 genomic scaffold, whole genome shotgun sequence.